rnacentral:rRNA from 1 species
GAUGAACGCUGGCGGCGUGCCUAAUACAUGCAAGUCGAGCGAACGGACGAGAAGCUUGCUUUUCUGAUGUUAGCGGCGGACGGGUGAGUAACACGUGGAUAACCUACCUAUAAGACUGGGAUAACUUCGGGAAACCGGAACUAAUACCGGAUAAUAUUUUGAACCGCAUGGUUCAAAAGUGAAAGACGGUCUUGCUGUCACUUAUAGAUGGAUCCGCGCUGCAUUAGCUAGUUGGUAAGGUAACGGCUUACCAAGGCAACGAUGCAUAGCCGACCUGAGAGGGUGAUCGGCCACACUGGAACUGAGACACGGUCCAGACUCCUACGGGAGGCAGCAGUAGGGAAUCUUCCGCAAAGGGCGAAAGCCUGACGGAGCAACGCCGCGUGAGUGAUGAAGGUCUUCGGAUCGUAAAACUCUGUUAUUAGGGAAGAACAUAUGUGUAAGUAACUGUGCACAUCUUGACGGUACCUAAUCAGAAAGCCACGGCUAACUACGUG